UACGGAGGGGGCUAGCGUUGUUCGGAAUUACUGGGCGUAAAGCGCACGUAGGCGGCUUUGUAAGUUAGAGGUGAAAGCCCGGGGCUCAACUCCGGAAUUGCCUUUAAGACUGCAUCGCUAGAAUUGUGGAGAGGUAAGUGGAAUUCCGAGUGUAGAGGUGAAAUUCGUAGAUAUUCGGAAGAACACCAGUGGCGAAGGCGACUUACUGGAC
rnacentral:rRNA from 1 species